UCCGUUUCCGUUACUUAUUAGCAAUUAUUUGGAAAUUAAUAUGAAUCAUUGGAAAUGCUAUGAGUUAAUAAGUACAAGUUUUGUGUAAAGUCUUAUUCCGCGAAUAUCAUUCAUAAUGUCAUGCUCGUGCAAUAUCUAGCCCGCAAUUAAACCUAUUUAUUCCUGAAAUCAAUUGCCGAUGGUUGCAAUACCUUCAAUCGGAACAGGUGUGCUGGAUGAAGUAGUUACAUCACUAACGAAAUAAGUUCACAUGACUUUCGUGUAAUUUCAGGGGAUACCAGCAGGAUAACCGCAUCAUCAACGGCUUCCACACCAUAUCCGUCCAAAAACGCUGAAGCUCCCACGGCAGACUCCACUCUGACGAAGUUGCAGGUCAUCAUGGACGCUCUCCUCAUAACGCCCACCGUGCUUCUCAUGUUGUCGUUCGGCUGCUCCAUGCACGUGAAACACAUAAAGGAUUACUUCAGCAGGCCCAUCGGUGUGGUCCUAGAAGUUCUUCUGCACUUGAUCGUGCUGCCAUACUUGUUUUACGCCCUAGACCAGGUGAUGAUGUGGGAUCGCUACGACGAGAUGAGUCUUACCGUCCUUGCCACCUGCCCCGCCGGUGGCGUCUCUAAUCUCUAUGUCUUCUAUGCCGAUGGUGAUCUGGCACUCGGGUGAAUCGAUAAGUAAAACUGUGCGAUCCUUCCUCCACCAACACUGCCUGUUUUAACCAAAUGUUUAUCUCGUUUUACUUUUAAUGGACAACCAACGUUCUGUUAUCAUAGAUAUGAUGUCUAUACAAGUAUGUACGUCCGUCUUUAGACUGAAAAUACUUAUGGUUUGUCGAUUUUGUCCAUUAGUCCGUGAUACGAAGUGUUCAGGGACAUGUUGUUGUGAAGGGCAUAUGCGAACCCUAAAAUGUGAAUUCAAUUCGUCGCCUACUUAUUGAGUUAUGUCGUGUGACGUCAUUUUAACUGACUGUGUAUUACUCUUUUAAUUUAGCCGCGUGCACUAAACGCUAUUUUCGCGGCUCCACGUAUUCUGCAUGAUUGGUGAAACUUUCACAAAACCGUCAGGAAAGUAUUGAUAUGAAUAUCAAAACUUCAUUUCCACAAGCUAUAUUAUACUCUGUCCUUUUUUGGAAAGUACUCAAAACGUUUAUGUUUAGUCUGCACUGGAGAUCUGCACAUUAUAAAACAAGUUUUAUUCGCCGCCUUUACAUCGAGUACUUUUAUGGUCUUUUGAUGGCUUUAUGACUGUGACAUAUAUACCUUUAGACUUUCCAGAUCUGCAUACAAGUCACCUUUAUAUUUGCGCUUUUCGACUUCGAAGUUCAUGAAUGGAACAAAACACCAUAAUGGGUACUGGAUGGAAAAGGAUGUUAAUUCACCUAUAUUAUUAUGAUUUAAAUUGUAAUUAUUCUAUAGUAUACUAGUAAUUAGCUUUAAAACGGAAUGUAAAACAAUUAGGAUGGUGGGACGAGGAAAAAGCUGCAACAGGUUUUGCCCGCAUAUUGCGUUGGCUUAGAAAAUUGUGUGACUUACAUUAAACUAUUAUGGAAGGACUUGCCACUCUGUCUGUCUAUGA